UCACUGACUGAAACUUAGUUACUGACAUUGA
rnacentral:piRNA from 1 species